GAUGAACGCUGGCGGCGUGCCUAACACAUGCAAGUCGAGCGCGAUUAAAUGGAGUGGAGACUUCGGUCAAAGCGAAGCUUAUGAAAGCGGCGGACGGGUGAGUAACGCGUGGGCAACCUGCCCCAUACAGAGGGAUAGCCACUGGAAACGGUGAUUAAUACCUCAUGAGUCAGUAGCAUCGCAUGAUGUAGCUGACAAAGAUUUAUCGGUAUGGGAUGGGCCCGCGUCUGAUUAGCUAGUUGGUGAGGUAACGGCUCACCAAGGCGACGAUCAGUAGCCGACCGGAGAGGGUGAUCGGCCACACUGGAACUGAGACACGGUCCAGACUCCUACGGGAGGCAGCAGUGGGGAAUAUUGCACAAUGGGCGCAAGCCUGAUGCAGCAACGCCGCGUGAGUGAUGAAGGCCUUCGGGUUGUAAAACUCUGUCCUAUGGGAAGAAUCAAAUGACGGUACCAUAGGAGGAAGCCCCGGCUAACUACGUGCCAGCCGCCGCCGUAACAC
rnacentral:rRNA from 1 species